rnacentral:rRNA from 1 species
CACCCCGCCCCCCCCACAAAAUCCAUAAAAAACCCGCGGGGGCACCAAGACGGCUUUGGGAUUUUUAUUAAGAAACCAGAAGAAAAGAGUAUCUUUUUUUUUUUUUCCCACACUUCGCGAUCGAAGGGAAAGUUAGCAUAUGAUAUGAAUACAGGCCUGCCCCCCACUUUCUCCUCGCUUCCCCCCCUCCCGGACCGUUUAACUUUAAUAGGUUCGAAACCAAAGUUUUUGGGCACCCAACCCGCAAUUAAACGUUUGGUGCCCCGGGAUGGCCCGGGGUUUCCCCACGGGGGUUAAACCGGGAUCUCUGUGAGCUCUUGUAAGAAACCUUACACAUUCAUUUGCUUGAGUUUUAAAAAAACUGGAUAACUGGCAUCCAAGUUAGCCCCUUUGACCCGUUUUUGACCACGGACCAAGGAGUCUAACUGGUAUGGGAGUGAUGGAGUAAUUUUAAAACUCGAACGCGAAAUGAAUGUGAAGGUUCUCGUACGAGAGCUGACGGAGGAUCCCCGGUGUAAGCCCUCCUCGUGUGGGACGGCCGGGGCGCACUCCGGGGGCAUCGAGACUGCUGAUUGCCGGUCUGGUGCACCUAGAGCAUACACGUUGGGACCCGAAAGAUGGUGAACUAUGCCU